UACGUAGGGGGGCGAGCGUUGUCCGGAUUUAUUGGGCGUAAAGAGCGUGUAGGCGGUUCGGUAAGUCUGUCGUGAAAUCCUGAGGCUCAACCUCGGGCGUGCGAUGGAUACUGCCGGGCUAGAGGAUGGUAGAGGCGAGUGGAAUUCCCGGUGUAGCGGUGAAAUGCGCAGAUAUCGGGAGGAACACCAGUAGCGAAGGCGGCUCGCCUGG
rnacentral:rRNA from 1 species